rnacentral:rRNA from 1 species
UGAUGCCUAACCAUGGCAGUCGAGCGGUACAGGCGUACCAAUACGUGCUGACGAGCGGCGAACGGGCGAGCAAUGCUUCGGAAUCUGCCCAAUGAUGGGGAAUAACCAGUCGAAAGAUUGGCUAAUACCGCAUACGCCCUUCGGGGGAAAGCGGGGGAUCGUAAGACCUCGCGUCGAUGGAUGAGCCGAAGUCGGAUUAGCUAGUUGGUAGGGUAACGGCCUACCAAGGCGACGAUCCGUAGCUGGUCUGAGAGGACGACCAGCCACACUGGGACUGAGACACGGCCCAGACUCCUACGGGAGGCAGCAGUGGGGAAUAUUGGACAAUGGGGGCAACCCUGAUCCAGCGACGCCGCGUGUGUGAAGAAGGCCUGCGGGUUGUAAAGCACUUUUAGUGGGGAUGAAAAGCACAUCACUAACACUGGUGUGUCUUGACCUAACCCAAAGAAUAAGCACCGGCUAACUCUGUGCCAGCAGCCGCGGUAAUACAGAGGGUGCGAGCGUUAAUCGGAAUUACUGGGCGUAAAGCGUGCGUANACGGCUAUCUAAGUCGGGUGUGANAGCCCCGGGCUCAACCUGGGAAUUGCAUUCGAGACUGAAUAGCUAGGGUACGGUAGAGGGAAGUGGAAUUUCCGGUGUAACGGUGAAAUGCGUAGAUAUCGGAAGGGAACUCAGUGGCGAAAGCGACUUCCUGGACCAAUACCGACCUUCUGGCAGGAAAGCGUGGGGGAUCAAACAGGAUUAGAUUCCCUUGGUAGUCCCCCGCCGUAACCUUUGAGAGCUAGCCGUUGGAGGGUUUACCCUUUCCGGGGCGCAGCCUUAAGGCUUUAACUUCCUCGCCUGGGAGAAGAAGGCCGCAAGAUUAAAAUUCAAGGGAAUUGACUGGGGCCCGGACAAGUGGGUGGGAUUG